AACAACGCUGGCGGCGUGCCUAACACAUGCAAGUCGUACGAGAAAGUCGGCUUCGGCCGAUGAGUACAGUGGCGCACGGGUGAGUAGCGCGUGGGUAAUCUGCCCCCCCGGUCAGGAAUAACCCGCCGAAAGGCGGGCUAAUACCCGAUAACACUGACGCUCCGCGGAGCGUCUUUCAAAGAAGGCCUCUGUUUACAAGCUUUCGCCGGAGGAUGAGCCCGCGUACCAUUAGCUAGUUGGCAGGGUAAUGGCCUACCAAGGCUACGAUGGUUAGCUGGUCUGAGAGGAUGGCCAGCCACACUGGAACUGAGACACGGUCCAGACUCCUACGGGAGGCAGCAGUGAGGAAUCUUGCGCAAUGGGGGAAACCCUGACGCAGCAACACCGCGUGAGUGAGGAAGGCCUUCGGGUCGUAAAGCUCUGUCAGAUGGGAAGAAAUGGAUGGGGGCUAAUAUCGCCCAUCCUUGACGGUACCAUCAGAGGAAGCACCGGCUAACUCCGUG
rnacentral:rRNA from 1 species